rnacentral:rRNA from 1 species
UACGAAGGGGGCUAGCGUUGUUCGGAAUCACUGGGCGUAAAGCGCACGCAGGCGGAUAGAUAAGUCGGGGGUGAAAACCCGGGGCUCAACCUCGGAAUUGCCUUUGAUACUGUAGGUCUCGAGUCCGGGAGAGGUGAGUGGAAUUCCUAGUGUAGAGGUGAAAUUCGUAGAUAUUAGGAAGAACACCAGUGGCGAAGGCGGCUCACUGGCCCGGUACUGACGAUCAGGUGCGAAAGAGUGGGGAGCAAACAGG